GCACUCUGAUCCAGCCAUGCCGCGUGUAGGAAGACUGCCCUAUGGGUUGUAAACUACUUUUAUAUGGGAAGAAUAAGAUCUACGUGUAGAUUGAUGACGGUACCAUAAGAAUAAGCACCGGCUAACUCCGUGCCAGCAGCCGCGGUAAUACGGAGGGUGCAAGCGUUAUCCGGAAUCAUUGGGUUUAAAGGGUCCGUAGGCGGGCAUAUAAGUCAGUGGUGAAAGUCUGUGGCUUAACCAUAGAAUUGCCAUUGAUACUGUAUGUCUUGAAUUAUUGUGAAGUGGUUAGAAUAUGUAGUGUAGCGGUGAAAUGCUUAGAGAUUACAUAGAAUACCGAUUGCGAAGGCAGAUCACUAACAAUAUAUUGACGCUGAUGGACGAAAGCGUAGGUAGCGAACAGGAUUAGAUACCCUGGUAGUCUACGCCGUAAACGAUGGAUACUAGUUGUUUGGUUUUCGGACUGAGUGACUAAGCGAAAGUGAUAAGUAUCCCACCUGGGGAGUACGUUCGCAAGAAUGAAACUCAAAUG
rnacentral:rRNA from 1 species